rnacentral:misc_RNA from 1 species
GACAUCAAUACAUUUAUUACUUAGGAUCUUUUUGCUUUGGAUUGACUAAUUUUCACGAUUUCGCGAUUUCACGCCUUGCAAAAAUCAGAUAAUGGCACAAGCACAGGCCACCAGAGGAGAUUCGUUAACGAGAAAGCUUCGUAAUUAUUCCGUAAAGUACGUGAAAAUUUCCGAGCCUGAGAUGUCUGACAGUAGAAGAGUGGUGAAAGAUUAUAUUGAAGACCAGGUCAUGAAGUACUGUCAGCAGAAUUCCACACUUCCCAUCUUGAGGCUGGAGUACACUGGGAGCGUGUAUGAGAGGCUGAAAACCGAAGCUGCCAAUGAAGUCGACGUAAUGGUAGUGCUGCAGACGACUAAGUCAGAAGUUGUACUCGAAGGCUGCGGAGUACCUGGUUAUGCCCGGCUCAAGACAAGAAGUGACUCAAAGUUUCGCACCCGUGAUUAUGUA